GCGUUUGGCGUUCCUCGAACC
rnacentral:siRNA from 1 species